GUGAAGGACAAGCUGACAUAAAUUGAAUCAUUCAGAAUACCUGAAAGAGUCAAGAGCUUCCACUUAGGCUCACUCCACAGGUCUUCAGAUUACCUGUACUCUGUAUCUUUACAGAAGUCCUUAUCCUGAGGGAACAUCAUCUACCCAAUGUCCAGUACACUUGCUCUUAGAAGUCUAUAAACAUUUAGUCAUAUUGAUGAAUACUCCUUUGCAGGUUUAGAUCUUACUUUAAAACAAAUUCUAAAGAAAAUGAAAAAGUGAAGAAUUAACUGAAACUGCAUUGGAAACACAUAGUCAUUUGCCAAAGUUGUUUUCCAGCAACAAAGGAAAUAGUUAAAAAAGAAGAAAACUGUUUUUUACUUGAAAGAAAACAUCCUCAAUACAUCAGACCAAUUUGGGAAAUUCAACAUGGCAGUUUUCACAAGAGUACUCUGAGCUACUGUCACAAUAAGGCAAAAAAGGAAAGCAAGAAGGGUGCAAUAUUGUUUAAAGAUAUAUUCAAAGUAUACAUCUAAAUCAGUAUCGGUUGCCUUGCAAAAGCGUAGGAUUCCGAUUAACAAAUAGCACUUCUAAUUGCCUUAGAAUUGAGCAUUAGAAAAUAAGCACAAAGUGAACUAUAACAAAAAGAGUAUUUACAUUCAGUCUCCAGAAAAACAACAUGAAGUUCCUAUAUAUAAAGACUACCAAAUUUAACUAGGACCCACACCUACAUGCAAUAGAAUCUAUAUCCUACUUACAAGUACUCCUCAAAGAUAAAUGUCAAAAGAACUUUCUGCUAUAUUCAUUGUACAUUAUCUAAAUCAACGCGUUCUUUAGUGGUGUGUGUGAGGAGGAAUAGCUCCUACAGUUGAAAUAGCUCAAUGAGAAAGGAUAUGAAUAAUGAAUGAGUUUAGAGAGGCAACAGUUAUCACUGAUUCACAAACCUGUGACAGAACAAGAACAAAGGUAUCACAAAGGUAUCAGCAGUACGAGAAGGAGGACAAUAGUGCAAUACAGAGAAGAUGCAUGGGAAAGACACCAUGGAAGACCUGCAAGCAAUCUAAGACAGUGUCAGAUGGAAAUGUGCACACAGGAAACUUGUGAAACAGUACAGCAACACAGCCCAUCUUAGCACAAGCAACCUCAAAUUAUAGGCUAGGUUCUUUUUGUAAAAGUUGUGCUUUUAAUCACUUCAUAAAGGAUCUAAAGUGGGACUCUCUCAAUAAAUACAUAAUAAUAUUACUAGAAAUGAAACUCUUAACCUGAACUGUGAUGUUCUUGAACAGUGACGAAAUUGCUUCAAGGAAACUUGAAUAUUUAAUACGUAGUUAUAACAGAGAAUGACUAAUGAGCACAUUAAGCUAUAACUACAUUACAACACUGCAGAUGGCACUAGUUCUAAUAGUACACGUUAUCACAAUUUAAUUUCCAUUCCUCUAAUCUGACCACGUACUAUCUCCAGUUUGCUUCUGCUUCCAACAAAUAUAGGGAGUACGCAUACCUUACAUAUGGUUAAUUUCAUGCUAAUAUUAAGUUAAUGUCUUUAACCAGUCUGUCCCCAAGUUGAUCAGGGAACAGCAUUUAUCAAUAUAAACUAUUUUACUGGAAUUGAAGAGCAAAAUGAAGCACCUUUUAAUUCUUAUUCAUAAACUUAUCCAGAUCCCAGUAACUGCUACAGUACAAGUCCUCUUCUUUUAAAGUCUUUCAUAAUACAGAAUAUUUAUCCAUUACUUAUUUUACAUUGUUAGCCAGCUCCCAGUUCUGGACUAUAAGAGUUCACCUACAAAUUUAUUUGGAUGAUACAGAAGAGGAAGCGAAAAGAUGCAGGUUACACAGGAGUGGGUAACAAUAGCCUAUUCCUAUCCUUUAAGGAUAACACAGAAGAAACUAGUAAUAUAUUUUUCCUGGAAUUAGAACUCCUUGGUAAUUUCACUUAACAAUACCGUAACACGCAUUUCAUACAAGUUUGACAAAACCCCAAAAGUGCAAUUUCUACAUGACAGCACAACUGCUUCAGAUGACUAGUGACUAUUAUGAUUUCUAUCAACUGAAAUUCAGAAUGAAAAUAUAACUUAGCAUGAUGCCUUCAAAAAGCCUCUAUGACUUAGCCCCUCUUAGCUACUUAAAACCGCUUCACCCAUUUUUAUUUUUAUACCCAGGUUUAGACCAUAUAAUCAGUAAUCAUCAACAAGUGUAACGUACCAUUCUCUUUCAAGAAUUUAAAAGCAUCUGAAUAUCCUUGCUCACAAAUCUCUCCUAGUACCUGCAAGCAGAGGGUAAAUGAGUCAGUCAAAUAAAAGGAGAUUUAAGAUCAACAGUUCACAGAAUGCAAAGCCACUUACAUCUACCUUUCAUCCUUGUAAUUGUAUAAGUUUCUUACAAUUGCUCUAAUUUAACAGAUUCACGUCAAUAAACUUACUGUGUGACACACAUGCAGUCAUGCAUAUGUAAGCUUAUUUUUCAACUAUCACAGGUGUACUGAAUUACUCAGCUAAAAGGACAACAUUCUAAGUGUUCGCAAGAGUUUCCUCGUUUGGCUAGUCUAUGUCAGAAGCAAUGUAACAGGGUGGCUUAGUAGGAUAUGCUAAUUCCCCUCUUCCCUCCCCAGGCUUCCCAGUUCCCAAAACAGUGAGAAGUCAGCUGUGCAAUUCUCAUGUUCAAGCUCAAACUUCGCCUUCCACAUGAAAACAUCUUUCACCAGAUGCAACACCAGCUCACCUAAUGUACACAGUAGUCCUAGACAAAAUUAAAAAAUUAACACAUAGAUAAGUAGAAUUUAACUUUUUUUCCAAGUGGUCAAAACCCUCCCAAUU